CACUCCUGCGGGAGGCAGCAGUAGGGAAUCUUCCACAAUGGGUGCAAACCUGAUGGAGCAAUGCCGCGUGAGUGAAGAAGGUCUUCGGAUCGUAAAGCUCUGUUGUUAGAGAAGAACACGUGCUAGGUAACUACUAGCGCCUUGACGGUAUCUAACCAGAAAGUCACGGCUAACUACGUGCCAGCAGCCGCGGUAAUACGUAGGUGACAAGCGUUGUCCGGCUUUAUUGGGCGUAAAGGGAGCGCAGGCGGUCUGUUUAGUCUAAUGUGAAAGCCCACGGCUUAACCGUGGAACGGCAUUGGAAACUGACAGACUUGAAUGUAGAAGAGGAAAAUGGAAUUCCAAGUGUAGCGGUGGAAUGCGUAGAUAUUUGGAGGAACACCAGUGGCGAAGGCGAUUUUCUGGUCUAACAUUGACGCUGAGGCUCGAAAGCGUGGGGAGCGAACAGGAUUAGAAACCCUUGUAGUCCCAUGA
rnacentral:rRNA from 1 species